UCCUACGGGAGGCAGCAGUGGGGAAUCUUGCACAAUGGAGGAAACUCUGAUGCAGCGAUGCCGCGUGAGUGAAGAAGGCCUUUGGGUUGUAAAGCUCUUUCGUCGGGGAAGAAAAUGACUGUACCCGAAUAAGAAGGUCCGGCUAACUUCGUGCCAGCAGCCGCGGUAAUA
rnacentral:rRNA from 1 species